rnacentral:lncRNA from 1 species
CCUUGAUAUGACUGACAGUAAGCAGUGACCGUGCGACCAGGACCUGUGCAUCAUUGCAUCAGCCAGUUUGGUAGUGAACCCUGGUACUACAGCCUUGUUUUUCUCAUUUGUAAUAGCCUGACACAUUGCCCUUGAAGGUCCAGUUUCCCAGGCUUGCAAGGUCUCUACUUCUCUAGACAAAGCACACACCAGAUACACAGUACAUCGAACCUUUCAUUCAACUGAAGUUCCUUGUCCGCUGCCUGCGAGGGAGCUGCGGUGCCUGAUGGCCAUGUGCUAUUUCUAGGCAUGGAGUCCAAGGCUGAAGGCCGGGUGACAGGCUCUGCAAACCAGGUGGGCUGACUUUCCUGCACUCCAAGGAAGAAUGGGAAGAGAGGGAAAGACGGAAGCAAGUAGUUUGCUGGAGCUUGUUACAGCAGACCGGCU